GUAACGUGUCUGACGGACAAAUCGUGGAGCGAUCGCCCGCCUAGUUGCCAGCUGAUUACUUGUCCGCCUUUGAGAGAUCCGGAACAUGGAACUGUCCAGUUGACCAAUUGGAUUUCGGACAAUCAAGAGCUCAAUAAUCAACAGCUGGCCGUGGGUUAUCAUUCUACGGCUCACUACACGUGCAAUCGUGUAUAUCAACUUUUUGGCCCGGGUCAACGGACUUGCACGGACCAAGGAACAUGGAGCGAUCGAGGACCACAAUGUCAAAGAGUAUGGUGCAAUGAACCUCAAGCGCCAUUGCAAGGAUUUGUGAUGGGAACUGGCCGGCAAUAUGGCGAAUUGGCGACGGGGUUCGCUACGCUUGUAGCACCGGCUAUCGGUUAAUCGGCGCAGACGAUUCCACCUGCCUGGCGGAUGGAAUACUUGGUCGACCGUGUCGCCUCAGUGUGAAGCCAGCUCUGACUUGCUUCGCGCCUCCUCCAACCGUUCCCCACACGAUAGCUCCGGCAUCCGGAAAGCCAAUAAACACCGGAACGCAAUUGAUUCUUCGCUGCCAGGAAGGGUUCACACCGGUCGGUGACAUGACGCUUCAGUGUUUGCACAAUCAACAGUGGUCCACUGUCAAGGGCUAUGCAAGAGAGUGCACUGCAGUCAUCCAGUUGCUAAAGGAACAGCUUCUGUGGUCGUCAUCAGUGGAGAGGCUGAUGCUGGAAGUGGACAGUACCACUUCGAGGAUCGACUUCUUGUUAGCUGCAAACAUGGUCGCCAUCUAAAGGGAAGUAGUGCCAUAUUAGUUUGCCAGGCAGACGGCCAAUGGACAGGUCAGCCUCCGGUUUGCGAAUCUCAAUGCGAUACGGUUUGUCUAAAUGGAGGCUCCUGCAAUUCCAACAAUCGUAAAUGUACUUGUCAGCCUGGAUACAGCGGGGACCGUUGUCAACACGGUAUUUAAAUCGCGUACCCACAGCAACUGAAAGAUGGCAUUUUUUUUUCAAAUUAGUAAAUCUUUGUUUAUUUAGUUCACAAUUGCACGCUAUUACUAAUUAAUCGUGUAGAAUAAUUUCUCAACAAGUUGUUUUUUUUGUUUGUUUGUUUGGUCUAGUUAAAUGUCAACAAAUGUUUGUUGUUUCGUGAAGGAAAAAUACAUGGGUU